UACGUAGGGUGCAAGCGUUAAUCGGAAUUACUGGGCGUAAAGCGUGCGCAGGCGGUUAUGUAAGACAGAUGUGAAAUCCCCGGGCUCAACCUGGGAACUGCAUUUGUGACUGCAUAGCUAGAGUACGGUAGAGGGGGAUGGAAUUCCGCGUGUAGCAGUGAAAUGCGUAGAUAUGCGGAGGAACACCGAUGGCGAAGGCAAUCCCCUGGACCUGUACUGACGCUCAUGCACGAAAGCGUGGGGAGCAAACCGG
rnacentral:rRNA from 1 species